UUUUUUGUAAUUGAAAUUUUUUAAGAAAUGUAGCCAAUUGGCAGGAAAUACAGCUGUGAAACAUUAUUAUUCUGUAGAAGAUUAGGCAAUUUAUGCGUAACUCUAAAAAAAACGUAUAUUUUGUUAGCAAAUUUGAUGUUGGCUGAUGAUACUGCAACUUAAAAA